rnacentral:lncRNA from 1 species
UCCCGUCUAAGCCACGGAUUGUCCUCCGCAUCCAUUUUUCGAUUUUUUGGGUGCAUUGGCCAUCAUCUCGAUUCAGAAUUUUAUUGCCAUUGAGGUUUAGCGCAAUCAAAAACUCUGUUAUAUAUAAAACGGUAGUCAAUUGUUUUUUCAUCUAAUUUGAAUUCAAAAAGAUAACAUUUUGAUUUCAGACAUUUAAUGUGACCGUGUGGUAGGAUUUUGGCGUAAUUUGUGGUAUUUUUAUCAAGUUUGGGCUUUG